rnacentral:rRNA from 1 species
GACGUAGGUGGCGAACGUUAUCCGGAAUUAUUGGGCCUAAAGCAUCCGUAGCCGGUUCUACAAGUCUUCCGUUAAAUCCAUCUGCUCAACAGAUGGGCUGCGGAAGAUACUAUGGAGCUAGGAGGCGGGAGAGGCAAGCGGUACUCGAUGGGUAGGGGUAAAAUCCGUUGAUCCAUUGAAGACCACCAGUGGCGAAGGCGGCUUGCCAGAACGCGCUCGACGGUGAGGGAUGAAAGCUGGGGGAGCGAACAGG